rnacentral:rRNA from 1 species
CCUACGGGUGGCAGCAGUAGGGAAUAUUGCUCAAUGGGGGAAACCCUGAAGCAGCAACGCCGCGUGGUGGAUGAAGGUUUUCGGAUUGUAAACUCCUUUUGUUAGAGAAGAUAAUGACGGUAUCUAACGAAUAAGCACCGGCUAACUCCGUGCCAGCAGCGGCGGUAAUACGGAGGGUGCAAGCGUUACUCGGAAUCACUGGGCGUAAAGAGCGCGUAGGCGGGAUAGCAAGUCAGAUGUGAAAGCCUAUGGCUAAACCAUAGAACUGCAUUUGAAACUGUUAUUCUAGAGUAUGUGAGAGGUAGGUGGAAUUCUUGGUGUAGGGGUAAAAUGCGUAGAGAUCAAGAGGAAUACUCAUUGCGAAGGCGACCUGCUAGAACAUAACUGACGCUGAUGCGCGAAAGCGUGGGGAGCAAACAGGAUUAGAUACCCUAGUAGUC